rnacentral:rRNA from 1 species
UACGUAGGGUGCAAGCGUUAAUCGGAAUUACUGGGCGUAAAGCGUGCGCAGGCGGUUUUGUAAGUCUGACGUGAAAUCCCCGGGCUCAACCUGGGAAUUGCGCUGGAGACUGCAAGGCUGGAGUCUGGCAGAGGGGGGUAGAAUUCCACGUGUAGCAGUGAAAUGCGUAGAGAUGUGGAGGAACACCGAUGGCGAAGGCAGCCCCCUGGGUCAAGACUGACGCUCAUGCACGAAAGCGUGGGGAGCAAACAGG